rnacentral:rRNA from 1 species
AACGAACGCUGGCGGCAGGCCUAAAACAUGCAAGUCGAACGAACCUUCGGGUUAGUGGCGCACGGGUGCGAACGCGUGGGAAUAUGCCUCUGGGUGCGGAACAACGUCGGGAAACUGACGCUAAUACCGCAUAAUAUCUACGGAUCACAGAUUUAUCGCCCAGAGAUUAGCCCGCGUCUGAUUAGGUAGUUGGUGAGGUAACGGCUCACCAAGCCGACGAUCAGUAGCUGGUCUGAGAGGAUGAUCAGCCACACUGGAACUGAGACACGGUCCAGACUCCUACGGGAGGCAGGAGUUAGGAAUAUUGGACAAUGGGGGCAACCCUGAUCCAGCCAUGCCGCGUGUGUGAAGAAGGCCUUAGGGUUGUAAAGCACUUUCAGCUGUGAAGAUAAAGACAGUAACAGCAGAAGAAGCUCCGGCUAAAUUCGUGCCAGCCGCCGCAGUAA